rnacentral:rRNA from 1 species
UACGUAGGGGGCAAGCGUUGUCCGGAAUCAUUGGGCGUAAAGAGCGCGUAGGCGGUCCGGUAAGUCCGCUCUGAAAGUCCGGGGCUCAACCCCGGGAGGCGGGCGGAUACUGUCCGGGCUAGAGUCCGGAAGAGGCGAGUGGAAUUCCUGGUGUAGCGGGUGAAAUGCGCCAGAUAUCAGGAGGAACACCAAUGGCGAAGGCAGCUCGCUGGGACGGUACUGACGCUGAGGCGCGAAAGCGUGGGGAGCAAACAGG